rnacentral:rRNA from 1 species
UACGUAGGGAGCAAGCGUUGUCCGGAAUCAUUGGGCGUAAAGCGCGCGUAGGCGGCCCUGUAAGUCCGUUGUGAAAGUCAAAGGCUCAACCUUUGAAAGCCGAUGGAUACUGCAGGGCUAGAGUCCGGAAGAGGCGAGUGGAAUUCCUGGUGUAGCGGUGGAAUGCGCAGAUAUCAGGAGGAACACCAAUAGCGAAGGCAGCUCGCUGGGACGAUACUGACGCUAAGGCGCGAAAGCGUGGGGAGCGAACAGG